rnacentral:rRNA from 1 species
GACGUAGGGCGCGAGCGUUGUCCGGAUUUAUUGGGCGUAAAGAGCUCGUAGGCGGCUUGUUGCGUCGACUGUGAAAACUCACGGCUUAACCGUGGAACUGCAGUCGAUACGGGCAGGCUAGAGUUCGGUAGGGGAGACUGGAAUUCCUGGUGUAGCGGUGAAAUGCGCAGAUAUCAGGAGGAACACCAAUGGCGAAGGCAGCACUCUGGGACGGUACUGACGCUGAGACGCGAAAGCGUGGGGAGCAAACAGG